GGUUUGCGGCUCAGCGAUAGAGUGCUUGCCUAGCAUGUGUGAGGCCCUGGGUUCGAUCCUCAGCACCA
rnacentral:tRNA from 1 species